AGAUAAAGGAUAACAGAGAUUAU
rnacentral:siRNA from 1 species